GACGAACCACACAAACGUUAUUCGGAAUUACUGGGCUUAAAGGGUGCGUAGGCGGCGCGGAAAGUAGGGUGUGAAAUCCCUCGGCUCAACCGAGGAAUUGCGCCCUAAACUACCGUGCUCGAGGGAGAUAGAGGUGAGCGGAACUUAGGGUGGAGCGGUGAAAUGCGUUGAUAUCCUAAGGAACACCGGUGGCGAAAGCGGCUACACUGGAUCUCUUCUGACGCUGAGGCACGAAAGCUAGGGUAGCGAACGGGGAUUAAGAU
rnacentral:rRNA from 1 species